rnacentral:rRNA from 1 species
UGAGUACGAGCUGCUACGGCAGCGAAGUGGGUGAUGUCAAGCUUCCAAGAAAAGCCCUAUACCCGUUAAGGCAUGAUGGCCUGUACCCGAGACCGACACAGGUGGGGUGGUAGAGAAUACCGAGGGGCGCGAGAUAACUCUCUCUAAGGAACUCGGCAAAAUGGCCCCGUAACUUCGGGAGAAGGGGUGCCACCGCAAGGUGGUCGCAGUGAAGAGGCCCAGGCGACUGUUUACCAAAAACACAGGUCUCCGCUAAGUCGCAAGACGAUGUAUGGGGGCUGACGCCUGCCCAGUGCCGGAAGGUUAAGGAAGCUGGUCAGCGUAAGCGAAGCUAGCGACUGAAGCCCCGGUGAACGGCGGCCGUAACAAUAACGGUCCUAAGGUAGCGAAAUUCCUUGUCGGGUAAGUUCCGACCCGCACGAAAGGCGUAACGAUCUGGGCGCUGUCUCGGAGAGAGGCUCGGCGAAAUAGAAUUGUCUGUGAAGAUGCGGACUACGUGCACCCGGACAGAAAGACCCUAUGAAGCUUUACUGUAGCUUGGUAUUGUGCUCGGGCUCGGAAUGCGCAGGAUAGGUGGGAGGCUAUGAACCAUUGCUUGUGGGUGAUGGUGAGCCACUGGUGAGAUACCACUCUUUCCGAGCUAGAGUUCUAACAGCCACCCGUUAUCCGGGGGCUGGACAGUAUCAGGUGGGCAGUUUGACUGGGGCGGUCGCCUCCUAAAAGGUAACGGAGGCGCGCAAAGGUUUGCUCAGGCUGGUUGGAAAUCAGCCGACGAGUGUAAAAGCAGAAGCAAGCUUGACUGUGAGACCUACAAGUCGAGCAGGGAGGAAACUCGGCUUUAGUGAUCCGACGGUUCUGCGUGGAAGGGCCGUCGCUCAACGGAUAAAAGUUACUCUAGGAUAACAGGCUGAUCUCCCCCAAGAGUUCACAUCGACGGGGAGGUUUGGCACCUCGAUGUCGGCUCAUCGCAACCUGGGGCUGAAGUCGGUCCCAAGGGUUGGGCUGUUCGCCCAUUAAAGCGGUACGCGAGCUGGGUUCAGAACGUCGUGAGACAGUUCGGUCCAUAUCCGGUGCAUGCGCAGGAAUAUUGAGAGGAUUUCUCCCUAGUACGAGAGGACCGGGAGGAACGCACCUCUGGUGUACCAGUUAUCGUGCCAACGGUAAACGCUGGGUAGCCAUGUGCGGAGUGGAUAACCGCUGAAAGCAGCUAAGUGGGAAGCCCACCUCAAGAUGAGUAUUCCCAUGGGGUAACCCAGUAAGGUCACGGGAAGAACACCCGUUGAUAGGCUCUACGUGGAAGCGCAGUAAUGUGUGAAGCGGAGGAGUACUAAUAGACCGAGGGCUUG